rnacentral:rRNA from 1 species
GACGAACGCUGGCGGCGUGCUUAACACAUGCCAGUCGAACGGAAAGGCCCUGCUUUUGUGGGGUGCUCGAGUGGCGAACGGGUGAGUAACACGUGAGUAACCUGCCCUUGACUUUGGGAUAACUUCAGGAAACUGGGGCUAAUACCGGAUAGGAGCUCCUGCUGCAUGGUGGGGGUUGGAAAGUUUCGGCGGUUGGGGAUGGACUCGCGGCUUAUCAGCUUGUUGGCGGGGUAGUGGCUUACCAAGGCUUUGACGGGUAGCCGGCCUGAGAGGGUGACCGGCCACAUUGGGACUGAGAUACGGCCCAGACUCCUACGGGAGGCAGCAGUGGGGAAUAUUGCACAAUGGGCGGAAGCCUGAUGCAGCAACGCCGCGUGCGGGAUGACGGCCUUCGGGUUGUAAACCGCUUUCGCCUGUGACGAAGCGUGAGUGACGGUAAUGGGUAAAGAAGCACCAGCUAACUACGUG